AACAGAGGGUGCGAACGUUGUUCGGAAUUACUGGGCGUAAAGCGCGUGUAGGCGGUCGUGCAAGUCGGGUGUGAAAGCCCUGGGCUCAACCCAGGAAGUGCAUUCGAUACUGCGCGACUGGAGUCCCGGAGAGGAUGGUGGAACUCUCGGUGUAGAGGUGAAAUUCGUAGAUAUCGAGAAGAACACCGGUGGCGAAGGCGGCCAUCUGGACGGUGACUGACGCUGAGACGCGAAAGCGUGGGGAGCAAACAGG
rnacentral:rRNA from 1 species